GAUGAACGCUGACAGAAUGCUUAACACAUGCAAGUCAACUUGAACUUCGGUUUGGGUGGCGGCCGGGUGAGUAACGCGUAAAGAACUUGCCUCACAGAUAGGGACAACAUUUGGAAACGAAUGCUAAUACCUGAUAUUAUGAUUAUAUGGCAUCGUAUAAUUAUGAAAGCUAUAUGCGCUGUGAGAGAGCUUUGCGUCCCAUUAGCUAGUUGGAGAGGUAACGGCUCACCAAGGCGAUGAUGGGUAGCCGGCCUGAGAGGGUGAUCGGCCACAAGGGGACUGAGACACGGCCCUUACUCCUACGGGAGGCAGCAGUGGGGAAUAUUGGACAAUGGACCAAGAGUCUGAUCCAGCAAUUCUGUGUGCACGAUGAAGUUUUCCGGAAUGUAAAGUGCUUUCAGUUGGGAAGAAAAAAAUGACGGUACCAACAGAAGAAGUGACGGCUAAAUACGUG
rnacentral:rRNA from 1 species